GACGAACGCUGGCGGCGUGCUUAACACAUGCAAGUCGAACGGUGAAAGCGGAGCUUGCUCCGCUGGAUCAGUGGCGAACGGGUGAGUAACACGUGGGCAACCUGCCCCUCACUUCGGAAUAACUCCGGGAAACCGGGGCUAAUACCGGAUAUGACCUCCUUGGGCAUCCUUGGAGGUGGAAAGUUUGUCGGUUAGGGAUGGGCCCGCGGCCUAUCAGCUUGUUGGUGGGGUAGUGGCUCACCAAGGCGACGACGGGUAGCCGGCCUGAGAGGGCGACCGGCCACACUGGGACUGAGACACGGCCCAGACUCCUACGGGAGGCAGCAGUGGGGAAUAUUGCGCAAUGGGCGAAAGCCUGACGCAGCAACGCCGCGUGCGGGAUGACGGCCUUCGGGUUGUAAACCGCUUUCAGCAGGGAAGAAGCCGCAAGGUGACGGUACCUGCAGAAGAAGCACCGGCUAACUACGUGCCAGCCGCCGCCGUAA
rnacentral:rRNA from 1 species